GACGAACCGAGCGAACGUUGUUCGGAAUCACUGGGCUUAAAGGGCGCGUAGGCGGGCGGCCGCGUCCGGGGUGAAAUCCUCCCGCUUCACGGGAGGACGGCCUCGGAUACGGGCGGCCUCGAGGGGGGUAGGGGCGUGCGGAACUGUGGGUGGAGCGGUGAAAUGCGUUGAGAUCCACAGGAACUCCGGUGGCGAAGGCGGCACGCUGGACCCCACCUGACGCUGAGGCGCGAAAGCCAGGGGAGCGAACGGG
rnacentral:rRNA from 1 species